UCGAGCACGCGCGUGUGGCAUAUCAAUAAGCGGAGGAAAAGAAACUAACAAGGAUUCCCUUAGUAACGGCGAGUGAAGCGGGAAGAGCUCAAAUUUGAAAUCUUCAAGGUUCUACCUUGACGAAUUGUAGUUUAUAGAAGUGUUUUCUGUUAGUAGAGUGGCAAAAGUUCUUUGGAAUAGGACAUCACUAGAGGGUGAGAAUCCCGUAUUUGGUCAUCUUUCUAGCUUUGUGAUACACUUUCAAAGAGUCGGAUUGUUUGGGAAUGCAGUCCAAAAUGGGUGGUAAAUUUCAUCUAAAGCUAAAUAUUGGCGAGAGACCGAUAGCGAACAAGUACCGUGAGGGAAAGAUGAAAAGAACUUUGAAAAGAGAGUUAAACAGUACGUGAAAUUGUCAAAAGGGAAGCGUUUGACACCAGUGUUGUUUUUCCGAAAAUCAAUUACGAAUGUUUUGUUUUUAAGAGUUAUGACUUCAUCGGCUUGCUUCCUUUCUUUAUGAAACUUUCUUAAUGCACUUUUCGGUUAACAAGUCAACAUCAAUUUCUUUUGUUGUAAAAGGGUAUGAGGAAGGUGGCUUUCUUUUCGGAGAAAGUGUUUAUAGCCUUGUGCCUCUACAAUCGGAGAGAUUGAGGUCUGCAGCGUAGAUCCUUCGGGGUUAGAUACGUUUGUGCUAAGUUAUAGCUUUUCAUAGACAACUUGUUGACUAUGUUUAGUCUUGUAGCUUACUCGCUGACGCUAUUUUACCUACGCUUAGGAUGUUGAUGUGAUACUGCGAGCA
rnacentral:rRNA from 1 species